UACGUAGGGUGCAAGCGUUAAUCGGAAUUACUGGGCGUAAAGCGUGCGCAGGCGGUUUUGUAAGUCUGUCGUGAAAGCCCCGGGCUCAACCUGGGAAUUGCGAUGGAGACUGCAAGGCUUGAAUCUGGCAGAGGGGGGUAGAAUUCCACGUGUAGCAGUGAAAUGCGUAGAUAUGAUGGAGGAAUACCGAUGGCGAAGGCAGCCCCCCUGGGAUAACACUGACGCUCAUGGCACGAAAGCGUGGGGAGCAAACAGG
rnacentral:rRNA from 1 species